UACAGAGGGGGCAAGCGUUGUUCGGAAUCACUGGGCGUAAAGGGCGCGUAGGCGGGCUGGCAAGUCGGUCGUGAAAUCCUUCGGCUCAACCGAAGAACGUCGGCCGAUACUGCCGUUCUUGAGGGAUGCAGAGGAGAUUGGAAUUCCCGGUGUAGCGGUGAAAUGUGUAGAGAUCGGGAGGAACACCGGUGGCGAAGGCGGGUCUCUGGGCAUUUCCUGACGCUGAGGCGCGAAAGCGUGGGGAGCAAACGGG
rnacentral:rRNA from 1 species